AGAAAGUUCUGGUGGGGCUCUACAUAUGGGAAACGCAAAACUCAUUGGGUCUCAUGGGAGACAAUGACAAAACCCAAAGGUAUGGGGGGUUUGGGUUUUAAAGAUUUCGAGCUGUUCAAUUUGGCUAUGCUAGCUAAACAGACCUGGCGAAUACUACAAGAUUCAGAAUCUCUAAGUGCUCGAAUAUUGAAAAGCAUCUAUUUUCCGGCCACAAAUUUCUUGCAAGCAACAUUAGGAAAUCACCCCAGCCAGAUUUGGAGGGCCUUAAUUGAGGGCCGAGACACUCGUAAGCAAGGAAUAACCAGGCGUAUAGGGAAUGAUGCAACAACUAAUAUAUGGGACGACAACUAG
rnacentral:rRNA from 1 species